GCUUCUCUGAAUCUGCCCACUAUCUGGGUUUCCCACUCCCUGCCCACCACUCUCCAUUCUGGGGACCACCGCCCGAGUGCCUCCCCUCCCCCGCUGCGCUGGGCUGCCCUUGGGUGGGUCUCGGUCUCUCUCUCUCUCUCUCUCUCUCUCUCUCUCUCUCCUGGCUAGAAGUGCUCCGGCUAUCGCUCAGACUUAAGGGGCUGCCUGGAGGUGAUGAAUAAUGCCCCCUGCCACCUGCUACCCAGCUCAGCACCCCAUUCCCGCCAGCUGGCCACAUCGGGCUGAGAUUCUGACACCCUGGCAGACAGUGAGGUUGGGGGUGACCUGGUGCUUCCCCUCAGCCCUUAAGGACAGAUGUCCGCGAGGUGGAGGGUGGCCCCCGUCGCUGGCACUUCUGGGAGGCGCCCAGCGGACCGGGCGCCCUGGGUGGGCGGCUCCCUCGCGCACUGGGUUGAGCCAGGACGGCUGCUGCCUCAGACCAGCGCCACGGCCAAGGUCCAGCUGGCGGGGCGGGCUUCGUCGCCCUGAGAGGAUGCUCUCUAGACUUGAGAGAGAAGGGAAAGACAAGGACCCGAGGAAAGAAACCGUCAGGAUUUUGUGUGUCUGUGCGUCUGUAAUUUAAUGGAGGCAACCAGUUCUCGGGAAGACUGGGUGAGCCGAGGCAACGCGCACGGGAGCGCACAAGUCAAAACGGGGCCAACUAAGGCGUGUCUGGGAGUCCUGGGGACUGCCACCUGGUUAACACCAACCAGGACACAAAACAGCCACCCGGGUGGGGAGAGAUGUUCACCUUGCUUAUCUGUUGGCAAGAAGCAAAUACAAAAGAUAAGAUAACGUGAUGUCUCUUACAACGGUGGCUCUUUCAUUAGCCAAUUUCACCUUUCCGCAACAGGAGUGCGAACCUUUGGAACUUUCAUUUGCGGCAUUUUGGCGCCCCCUGGCCGUGUUUGGAUUGCUCUCGUGUUCGCCUGUAUCCCAGCAAAGAAAAGGACUGAGUUGCAGGUUUCCCUCGCGGGUGGAUCUGCCCUCCUGACCUGGGCCUCCAUUCGAUCAGGGGCAAGGUUGUCCUCCAAAAUCGGGAAGACAAAACGCAUAUUGAGGGGGACCGACGCCAAAGGCAAGUGUAUCCGCAUUCAACCUGGAAAAGAUACAGAUGUGUUCGCACCCAGAGGAAAGACCAGGUGAAGAGACAGUGAAAAGGUGGACUUCUACUAGCCAAGGAGAGACACUUCAGAAGAAAGCAAACCUGCCAACAUCUUAAUCUUGGAGUUCCAGCCUCUAGAACUGUGCCAAUCUCAAAAACACGCCCUAAUAAACAUCCUUCAUUUAAUCUCCAUCGCAGAGUCUGAAAAGGUAACACUCCAGGAAUCAGAUCUGACAGUGCAACAUUGGUUUAUAGGAAAUGUGCCAUUUGCCAGGUAUUGAACGGGGGAGGGGAAAGAGCUUAUGCUAAGUCAUAUGGACUGGGAAUUGAAUCCUCACCUUAUAUUUCCUCAGGGGAAGUUUAUAAAACUCUUUGACUACAGAACUAUUUUGUGCUUGGUAUUUCUCUUAGAGCUCAAGGUAGGAUAA